AUGAACGCUGGCGGCGUGCCUAAUACAUGCAAGUCGAGCGAACGGACGAGAAGCUUGCUUCUCUGAUGUUAGCGGCGGACGGGUGAGUAACACGUGGAUAACCUACCUAUAAGACUGGGAUAACUUCGGGAAACCGGAGCUAAUACCGGAUAAUAUUUUGAACCGCAUGGUUCAAAAGUGAAAGACGGUCUUGCUGUCACUUAUAGAUGGAUCCGCGCUGCAUUAGCUAGUUGGUAAGGUAACGGCUUACCAAGGCAACGAUGCAUAGCCGACCUGAGAGGGUGAUCGGCCACACUGGAACUGAGACACGGUCCAGACUCCUACGGGAGGCAGCGGUAGGGAAUCUUCCGCAAUGGGCGAAAGCCUGACGGAGCAACGCCGCGUGAGUGAUGAAGGUCUUCGGAUCGUAAAACUCUGUUAUUAGGGAAGAACAUAUGUGUAAGUAACUGUGCACAUCUUGACGGUACCUAAUCAGAAAGCCACGGCUAACUACGU
rnacentral:rRNA from 1 species